UGGGGAAUCUUGCGCAAUGGGCGAAAGCCUGACGCAGCCAUGCCGCGUGAAUGAUGAAGGUCUUAGGAUUGUAAAGUUCUUUCGCUCGUGACGAUGAUGACGGUAACGAGAGAAGAAGCCCCGGCUAACUUCGUGCCAGCAGCCGCGGUAAUACGAAGGGGGCUAGCGUUGUUCGGAAUUACUGGGCGUAAAGCGCGCGUAGGCGGCUUUGCAAGCCAGAGGUGAAAUGCCUGAGCUCAACUUAGGAAUUGCCUUUGGGACUGCGAGGCUUCGAGGACUGGAGAGGUGAGUGGAAUUCCCAGUGUAGAGGUGAAAUUCGUAGAUAUUGGGAAGAACACCAGUGGCGAAGGCGGCUCACUGGCCAGUUUCUGACGCUAAAGUGCGAAAGCGUGGGGAUCAAACAGGAUUAGAUACCCUUGUAGUCCCUGAGCGGGCUGGCAAGGCG
rnacentral:rRNA from 1 species